rnacentral:lncRNA from 1 species
CAGCUGUAUGCUUUCAGAUAAAAUUCAGCUUUCCAGCAUUAUGACUAUUGCUGUUUUGUUUUCACAGGGUGGUUCAUAUUCCUCACAAAACUAUGGUGGUAGCCAACAGAGUGGAUCAUCAUACUCCCAAAAUUAUGGUGACAACCAGGAUGGAUCCUACUCACAAAACUAUGGUGGUGGCCAAGGUGGAUCAUCCUCAGACACCUAUUAUGACAGUCAGGAGUCACAAGAUUCCUCAUAUGAUAGUAAUCCCAAUGCUUGUGAUGAUAAUGACAUAACCUAUAGUGCCAAUAGUCAGCGUUCAGGUUGUACAAAGAAGAAAGUUGUUGUUGCCCGAGACACAUCACAUGUUUUAAGCAGAAGAGCCUAUGAUGUACAGAAUGCAUCUUCUUCAAAUAGCAGCCACUCUGACAUGCAGGGUGGAUCAUUUAUUGCAACCAGUGGAUCAAGUAAUCAGGGUGGCUGCAUUUGUCCUGAUGGAAGCAGCGGUCAUAGACAGGGAUCCCCAGGUUCUUCAUACAGCACAUAUUCUGGUAACCAGGGAGGGCCUUUCUUCUAUCCUGGAGGAUCCUAUGGACAGGGUGGCCCAGGUUCUUCCCACAGUUCUUACUCUGGUAACCAGGGAGGGCCUUCCUUCUAUCCUGGUGGAUCUUAUGGACAGGGAGGGUCUUCUGCUUAUGAUGGCAGCAGUGAAUCCUAUGGUCAGGGUGGAUCUUCUGCUUAUAGUGGUUCUGAGACUUAUGGCCAGGAUUCAGCUUCCAUGGGAGCCAGUGAAACUGAAUAUAGUGAUUCCUCCUCACCAUCUGGUAGCCGCCAGAGUGAACGGGAUUUUUAUUCCCCAGGAGGCAGCCAGUCAGGUGGACAUGGGUCAUCUUCUCAAAGUGGUAGCUACUCCAGUGGACAGGACUCAGCCUCAUCUGGAAGCAGCCAGUAUGGGGGGCAGGGUUCACCUUCCUCAGGAGGCAGCCAGUCUGGUGGACAGGUAUGAAUUUCUUUCUCCACAGUCUUCAGCUGGGCUCAUGUCAGGCACUCAAAUUUACUUCUUUUAUCUUUCCUUCACAAGAACUGUUUUCCUUCACCACUGUCCUUUGUGCCCAAAGCCUCAGCAGUGCAUUGUUUCCUUUUGGAAACAAUUUGGACAUCCUGCAAGCCAGAGUAGCCAGUAGUAACUGUUUGACAUGUGUAUUGUAGCUUCUGUACUUGCUUUGGUGCUAAACAAAUUUCAUGCAUAUUUAACGUGGAAAGUGAGACACUGAAUGAACUCCUGGCCACCAACAGUUAGUUUUAUCAGAGAUUAAAUCAUGUGCUUUCUGUAUCAUCUGUAACAUGAAAUAGUACUGCAUGUACUCCUGGUGCUCUGGCCUGUUUAGGAAAAAAAAGUCUUUCUGUGGUGCUACUCAGAAUUUUUUACUCAUCCUUUAGAUAGGUAAUGUUUUUAAGGUAAAAAUUGUAGGUAAGAAAACUUGAAGACAAAAUAAUUAGCAUUUUGUUGCCCCAUCAGAGUGCAGAAAUAGUUGCAUAAGAUGAAAUAGACUCAGUUCUAGAAACUGGGCAGUUAAAGUGUAGCUUUAUGGUUUGCAUGCCUGGGAUGGUAGAAUUGAUUUGAGUUGUAACUAAAAUCCAUUUCAGUCCUGUGUUCUUGAUAUCUUAAAUACUUUCUGCAUUUUUACAGGGUGGAUGUGAUUGUUCUGGGGGAAGUUCUGUAAGUGCUACUUGUUCAUUAU